rnacentral:misc_RNA from 1 species
UAAAAGUUGUCUGCUUUGGUCGGUGGUCGCUAGUUUGCACGCUUAGGUUACGUGUGUGGCAGAUUCACCAUGAGACUGAGAGUAAGUGCCCAGCUAUGUACAUGUUUGAGACGCAGAUACACCACAGUCACAGGCACAGCCACACAGGUGCAGCAGCCACUCAACUACGUCAAUGGUCAGAGAAAUCAACCUCCGGGACAAGACCCAGCCAACAGAUUUGAUCUCAUAAAUCCUGCAACAGGUGAAGUUCUGCGUCAGAUACAGAACUCUGGAGUGGAGGAAGUAGAUGGUGCUAUCGGCGUUGCUCUGCGGGCGUUUCCGGCCUGGUCUCAAAAGGCGGGGUUCGACAGGGGUCAGGUCCUAAGGAAAGCAGCCCAGCUGAUCAGGGAGAGGUGUGAAGAACUGGCCCGUACAGAGGUGCUGGACACAGGGAAGCCGAUCUGGGAGGCUCGCUACGACAUUCAGGGAUGUGCCGACACCAUCGACUACUAUGGUGGCCUUGCAGCAGCAAUAACAGGCGACUUCACUCAGCUGGCAGGGGGGUCCUUUGCCUAUACGAUCCGGGAAGCCCUGGGUGUGGUUGGGGCUAUAGGGGCGUGGAACUACCCCUUCCAGAUGGCGGCCUGGAAGUCCUCACCUGCAUUAGCAUGCGGCAACACCAUCGUUUUCAAGCCCUCACCCCUCACUCCGCAAACAGCCGUCAUGUUAGGAGAGAUAUAUGCAGAAGCUGGUCUGCCGGACGGAUGUUACAAUGUUAUUCAGGGCGAGGGGGAGACGGGGCAGUUGUUGUCUCGACACCCUGGAGUGGCUAAGAUGUCCUUUACAGGGAGCGUCCCCACGGGGGCCCGCAUUAUGGAAGCAUGUGCCCAGGACAUCAAGCAUGUCACUCUGGAGCUGGGAGGCAAGUCACCACUCAUCAUAUUCUCUGAUGCGGACAUGGACAACGCUGUGAAAGGGGCAAUGUUAGCCAACUUCAGCAACCAAGGACAGGUGUGCUCGAACGGAACACGAGUGUUUGUCCAGAAGGAUGUUGUGAAAGAGUUCCUGAAGAAGCUCGUAGAGCGCACGCAAAAGAUGAAGAUUGGGGAUCCGAAUGUUGAAGACACGACUGUCGGGGCUACAAUCAGCAGCAGCCAGGCAGACAAGGUGCUAGCAUAUGUUCAAGGGGCUAAGAAAGAGGGUGCUACUGUGGUGUAUGGUGGGGAGAGGGUGUCUCAAGCUGACCCCCGCCUCGCACACGGGCAUUAUCUCUCUCCCUGCAUACUGGCGGACUGCCACGACCACAUGACCGUUGUACGAGAGGAAGUCUUUGGUAGUGUCAUGUCGGUGUUGACCUUUGACACAGAAGAGGAAGUGCUGAGGCGUGCCAAUGAGACAGAGUUUGGCCUUGCCGGAGGCGUCUUUACCAGAGAUCUGAGCCGGGCACACCGUGUCGCAGCGGGGAUGGAGGCGGGGUCACUCUAUGUCAACAACUACAACAUCUACCCUGUCGGGGUUCCCUUCGGGGGCUACAAGAAAUCAGGAAUCGGACGUGAAAAUGGCAGGGACACCCUGGACUACUACAGUCAGAUCAAGUCGGUGUAUGUGGAGAUGAAUGAUGUGGAUUGUCCAUACUGAGUAUGUGGCUGGUUGGUCUUGAGGUCUAGCUGGUUGGUCUUGAGGUCAAGCGGGUUGGUCUUGAGGUCUAGCUAGUUGGUCUUGAGGUCUAGCUGGUUGGUCUAGCUGGUUGGUCUUGAGGUCUAGCCGGUUGGUCUUGAGGUCUACUUGGUUGUCUUGAGGUCGAGCGGGUAGGUCUUGAAGUAUGGCCAGUUGGUCUUGAGGUCUAGCUGAUUGGUCUUGAGGUAUAGCUGGUUGGUCUUGAGGUAUAGCUGGUUGGUCUUGAGGUAUAGCGGGUUGGUCUUGAGGUCUAGCUGGUUGGUCUUGAGAUCUAGCCUGUUGGUCUUGAGGUCUAGCCUGUUGGUCUUGAGGUCUAGCCUGUUGGUCUUGAGUCCUUGUGCCUUUCCUUAUGGAUUUGUAUUAUCAGUUUUACAGGAUCUGGAUUAUUAAAUCUUAAGUGUUUUAUAUCACAUGAGAUUCACCUUGGUAGGAUUGCAAAUUCUUUUUUUAUCCAAGAGACAUCUUCAAUAAAUGCCAAUAUGGUAUAAGCACUAAUUCUGCAUACAUUGUUUUCUACAGUUUUCUGAUCUCAUCACAUAAUAUAUCUAUGAAGGACUUUGUGUUCCCAUUAGUGUGGAGCAUCGUACAUAAAGGUUGCGAAUGGAUGCAAAUAAUAUGCACUGCAAAAAACGUCUUAUGCAGAUAUUUUGUAAUUCUGAUGCAUGUAGUGGUUAUAUCAUAUGAUACGUAUGACAGGUGGUGACAUUCUUAUGACACCAAUGGCAGGUUACUGUGAUCUACUUUUAGUGACAAGAAUGUGCCAUUUGUUUUGGUUACUUUGAAUUCCACACAGUUGUUUCAUUGAAUUCCACAAAGGGACAUCAUAUUUGAUUAUAUUCUAGAUAGCCCUUCCGAAUGAUCUUGAAACGCUGGUCAGUGAUUCAAAGGUCAAAUUUACUCUCAAGGUCAUAUACAGUAAACUGCGGUUAUAACGAACUGAAAGGGACAACUUAUUUUAGUUUGUUAUAACCAUAGUUCAUUAUUAGCAUAGUGAUAUAGACAGGAUAUAUAUACAGCAAAUACCCAGGACCAAAAAACAAUAGGUUAUAAUUGUCAGUUCACUAUAAGCGUGUUCGUUAUAAACGUAGUUUACUGUAUUAAAACAUGUACUGGUAUUAUGUGUGUGAUAACUCAAGAGGUGUUCACCUUAAUAGGAUGAACUUUGGUACAUAUCAUCCUAAGGAUGGCGCAUUGAAUUGGUAUCUUUGUGUGACCUUCGUGGAGGGUCAAGGUGGCUGGAAGGAUCAUCAGGAAGUUCUGCUUCUUUGUGAACUGAACCAACCCUAAGUGUUUGUACGACAUGUAAGAGCAAAUUGAAAUUGAGAGUCAAGGUAAUUGAAUCAAAAGUGCACAGGUCUUAUAAAAUUGUCUUAUAAAAUUGUCUUGCAUUAGACAUGACACUAAAUGAUGUCCUAGUGCCGGAAGUGGAUAGGAUUUUUUUUAUUAAUGUUGUUACAGGCAUAGGACUUUGUAUUGCAGUUGUUUUGCAUCUGUAAUAGGGUUUUACUACCCGGGUACCCCAACCGCCAUUGCCCGACCAUACCAGGGUACCCCAUCCAGUAUUGCUCGACCCUACCUGGGUACCCGACCCGCUAUUGCUCGACCCUACCCGGGUACCCCACCCACUAUUGCUCGACCCUACCCGGGUACCCAACCCGCUAUUGCUUGACCCUACCCUGGUACCCCACCCGCUUUUGCUCGACCCUACCCGGUACCCCACCUGCUUUUACUCGACCCUACCCGGGUACCCACUGUAAGUCUCAAGAGUACAUAAUGUCUGCUUGGGAAUUGAUUUUGCAAAAAGUAUUCAGACACACGUAAUAACCGAUCUGGUCAUGCAUCCACUGAAGUUGACUGAAGCUUCAUCUUUAUUCAAACAUAUAAAAGUCAGAAGGUAUGUGUGCAUAGUCAGUUAGAGUCACAUUAGUGACUUGUAGUGUAACUAUGGAGUUAUAGUGAAUUUUUGUCAUUAAAUACUAUAACACGGGACUAACAACGGGUCCGGGCAGUCCUGUGGGUACCUGGGUCCUACUUCGUACCAAGUACUACCCACCCGAUCUGAGUACCUGAAUUACCUGUCCCAGCCCUAGUUCGUAAUCAUGUUUUCCCAAACAGAAAGUGAUGUUUAGGCUAAAAAAAAUUAAAGGAAUUGGUUCUCAGUCAAUGGUUUUCGAAAAUAUAGUGGCGGUGUUUUGUUAUUUUUUGGGGGGGUAUGUUCAAACUGGUAUGUAACCAAAUAAACAGUUGUGUACAAUCAACCAGGGAAAGGGCCUCCCUGCAUAAAUGUAUUCCUUGAUGAAUAAAAUACUGAAAUACUGUAUUUGACUACCAUUGGAAUAUUUAAGGAUUUUUAAAAAAAAAAUUCAAAUGGAAGUAAAAAUGAAAUGUGUGGCAAACUUCAUGAUGAUGCGGGCAGUGCCUGAGAACCAAGACUAUUAUUUUUUUAGGCCUUACACAUGUUAUUAAGGUAGCUAGAGGCACAGCUUCAAGGCAGUCAGGAGAAGGUGGGGAUGUGGCUGCUUCUAUUCUGUUAUGUUGUGCCAACAGCUUUCCAGUUGUUUAUGAAUUAUUAUUCAAUUAAAUAGAACCCCUCGAAUAUGAGGUAUCAUGGUUGAGAACAUGUGUUAUUUGUGUGCUGGCAAAUGUAUGUAUGGUGAGUUGGAUAUGUUUAGAGACUGAAGAAUAUGUAUGAAUGACAAUAUAUUCAGACAUUGUUGGAGAUGCACUGGAUGAGGAUUACCAUGAUUUACAUUUUAUACCAAUUAUUUUUUUUUUUUAUGUUCAGUUUUUGAUUAGUUUAGUUCUGUCACAAUUACACGGACAUUAUUAACUUGUACACAGAACAUUGGGAGUUCAGAUUCCAGAAAGGGUAAAGGGGACAGUUGGUAAAGAUUGGCACCCUCUUUUUUGAGGGUUUGCCAAAUUAUCAUUUGUUCAUACUUCAGAGGACCAGUGUCUCCUCAUGUGAGAGACAGUAUUUUCACACACACACCUUGGUUAAGAGGGAUGGGAUAAUUUAAAUAAUUUGUAGAGGGAAUUCUCAAAAUGUUUCAAGGGUUGCAUGCAGCCGGCUGCUCUACACCUGCAGCUAAGAAGUGCAUACCGUUUUAUCAUGCCGAAAAUGUUGAGCACAUACUUUAUAUAUCUUUAUGAAUGAAUGUACAUCUCUACACUGUAAUAAAGUUGUUUUCAACAUUA